rnacentral:rRNA from 1 species
CCUACGGGUGGCUGCAGUGGGGAAUUUUGCGCAAUGGGCGAAAGCCUGACGCAGCAACGCCGCGUGCGGGAAGAAGGCCUUCGGGUUGUAAACCGCUUUCGACAGGAACGAAAUUGACGGUACCUGUAGAAGAAGCCCCGGCCAACUACGUGCCAGCAGCCGCGGUAAUACGUAGGGGGCGAGCGUUGUCCGGAUUUAUUGGGCGUAAAGAGCUCGUAGGCCGUUCGGUAAGUCAGAUGUGAAAACUCCAGGCUCAACUUGGAGAGGCCAUCUGA